rnacentral:tRNA from 3 species
UCCGAUGUAGUGUAACGGCUACCACAUCACGUUCUCACCGUGGAGACCGGGGUUCGACUCCCCGCUUCGGAG